rfam:Sus scrofa isolate TJ Tabasco breed Duroc chromosome 4, whole genome shotgun sequence.
UCCCUGGUGGUCUAGUGGUUAGGAUUCUGUGCUUUCACCCCUGUGGCUCAGGUUUAAUCCCUGGUCUGGGAA